rnacentral:rRNA from 1 species
AACGAACGCUGGCGGCAGGCCUAACACAUGCAAGUCGAGCGGGGGAGCAAUCCCUAGCGGCGGACGGGUGAGUAACGCGUGGGAACGUACCCUUUGCUUCGGAAUAGCCCCGGGAAACUGGGAGUAAUACCGGAUGUGCCCUACGGGGGAAAGAAUUUCGGCAAAGGAUCGGCCCGCGUUGGAUUAGGUAGUUGGUGGGGUAAUGGCCUACCAAGCCGACGAUCCAUAGCUGGUUUGAGAGGAUGAUCAGCCACACUGGGACUGAGACACGGCCCAGACUCCUACGGGAGGCAGCAGUGGGGAAUCUUAGACAAUGGGCGCAAGCCUGAUCUAGCCAUGCCGCGUGAGCGAUGAAGGCCUUAGGGUUGUAAAGCUCUUUUACCCGGGAUGAUAAUGACAGUACCGGGAGAAUAAGCUCCGGCUAAACCCGUCGUCGACGAC